rnacentral:miRNA from 1 species
CGCCUUGCAGUCUUAAGGAGAGCCCCAUGCCUUUGGACAUGCUGUUCCUUCUGCCUGGGAUUUCCUUGUCUGCCUGGUGA